AAAUGCCUGAAGUGAGCCAGCAAUUCUGUAACAAUCAUAACUAGAAUCUAGUUCUCAAGUUUUACCCAUUCAGACCUUGGUUCCUUCAGAUAUCGUACAUUCUAGCUCUGCUUGCAUAGUGUGAAAGAAAUUGGAUUGCUUACUGAAAAAUGAACCUGACCUGUCACAGCAAUUCUGGACUUACUUGGACUCCUGAUGUCAAUUCUGUUGUCAUAUGCAUUGAAGCUUCGCAAUGACAGGAGAUUAAACAAAUGGGAGGAGAAUUCCAGGAAAUGAAAAAGUCAUACGAAGAAGAGUUAUGUUCUACAGCCAAGCCCAAGUUAAAAAAUAAUCAACUGAACCUUCACAUUCUUUGAGUGCCUCUCUCGUUGAUACUGCAUGUUUUACAAAUUUGAAGAUUUGUGGCAACUAUGCAUUGAGCGAGUCUAUGGGCACCAUUUUUCCAACAGCAGGUGAUCACUUUGCGUCUGUGUGUCACAUUUUGGUAAUUCUUGAAACAUUUCAAAUGCUCUUAUUAUUAUUAUAUCUGUUAUGGUGAUCUGUGAUCUUUGAAGUUUUUAUAAUUGUUUGGGAUACCAUGAACCAUGCCCAUAUAAUACAGCAAACUUAAUCAAUAAAUGUUGUAUAUGUUCUGACUGCUCCACAAACCAGCUGUUCUCCCAUAUCUCUUCCACUCCUCACUCCUGGGGCCUCUCUAUUCCCU
rnacentral:lncRNA from 10 species